rnacentral:misc_RNA from 1 species
AAGCCUAGAUAAAGGAGGAGAGUUAUAGUAGGUUGAUGGCUAGCAUAAAAUUCAGUCAUUUCUCAUGAUAUGGAUACCAAAAAGUUCCCUUUUCUAGAUAAUUGCAAGCUAGUCAUCUCUCAUGAUUUGCCACACUGCUAGGGAGAACUUUUACUCUGCUCUUCAAUUAAUCUAUUGAUAUCCUCUAAAAUGUCUUUGCCAAUAUGUUAUUCUUUACUACUAAUUACAAGCAGAUAUCCUUAAUAUCUUGAUUAUUCUUCACAAGAUACUACUUGGUUAAUAUAAAAAAGAAACAGCCAAAGAUAAGAUGAAAAUGUCUAUCGUUUGGUGGGAAGAAAAGGUUCAAAAGAAAAGUUUUACGAAAUGUAGGCAGCGAGAGAUCAUCUCAAUCAUGAAGGAGGGUGAUAAGGGGAAAAAAGUAUUUGAUACUACCAUAUGUUUUUACAGAUAAACACUGAGCGAUAUAUGCAUGCCUAGAAGGUUAAACAAUUUCUGUGACGAAUAAAAGGUUUCUAAGAGUCUGCAGUCAAGGUAAACUUUUCCAGUUUACUAACACACGCAAUUGAACUAUAACAGAAGAAAAAACGUUAAAGAUUGGGCUUAGAAAAUUUAACGAGUUCUAUGAAAGCAAGUUCUUUGUUUGAACAAGCCAAUUGGGCACAAUUCAUUACCAGGAUAACAGGAGCCCCAAGGCAUGACCAUCAGCAAGUAAGAAUUUAUUAGCAUCAGAAAUUUACAGAUGAAAAUAAUUAGGCAUGCUUGCUUAAUGUUUACCCUAUUUUUCACCUAAAUUUUGUGCACGUGAAGCGAUAAAAAAAAGAAAAAAGGCUGAUAUCUACAUCCAAAUUGGAGACCGAUGAAUGCGAACAUCACAUAUUCCUGUCGCAAUUGACAUUUUAUCAAUCACCUUACAUGCAUAACAGAAUAUAAUUUGGCAAGUUACCUUGAUCGUGAAAUUGAGAGCGA